rnacentral:tRNA from 1 species
GGGCCUGUAGCUCAGUGGCAGAGCGGUCGGCUCAUAACCGAUUGGUCGCAGGUUCGAAUCCUGCCGGGCCCACCA